rnacentral:rRNA from 1 species
GGGGAGGGGUGGAUAAUUUCGAUGGUAGUGUAUUGGACUAUAUGGAUCUCACGAAUAACACGUAACUAUGGUUCGAUUCUGGAGAAGGAGCCUGAGAAACGGCUACUACAUUUUCUCUAGGCAGCGUGGCGCGUAAAUUACCCAAUCCUGACUCAGGAAGGUGGUGACAACAUAUAACAACGCCCUUUCAUUGUGACUGUAGUGAGGGUAUUCCUACCCAACCACUAGUACGAUUAAAGGGCAAGUCUGGUGCCAGAAGCCGCGGUAAUUCCAGCUCUAAUAGCGUAUAUCAAAGUUGCUGCAAUUAAAAGCUCGCUCGUAGUGGAUUUCUUGGACCGCAAACCCCUCCGGGGAAUACUUCCUACUAGCCUCCGGAAUGUUACUGUGAGAAAAUGAUAGUGUCUCAAGCAGGCUUUCACAGGAACACAUUAUCAUGGAAAAAAGAAUGCGGGAGAGGGGAGGGCGACGCAAACCACGAUUAACAGAGAUAGUGGGGGAAUAGCAUCCAAUCUUCUCAUCUGUACUUCUCGAGACGUGAAAACUAACGCAUGCUACAGCCCUACCCCACGACGUCUCCACUACUCGGGGACGACCGACAGGG